rnacentral:tRNA from 1 species
GAGGGUAUAGCUCAGUGGUAGAGUGCAUGCCUAGCAUGCACAAGGUCCUCAGUUCAAUCCCCAGUACCUCCA